UACGUAGGGUCCGAGCGUUGUCCGGAAUUAUUGGGCGUAAAGGGCUCGUAGGCGGUCUGUUGCGUCGGGAGUGAAAACUUACAGCUUAACUGUGAGCGUGCUUCCGAUACGGGCAGACUUGAGGUAUUCAGGGGAGAACGGAAUUCCUGGUGUAGCGGUGAAAUGCGCAGAUAUCAGGAAGAACACCCGUGGCGAAGGCGGCUCUCUGGGACGGUACUGACGCUAAGACGCGAAAGCGUGGGGAGCGAACAGG
rnacentral:rRNA from 1 species